UACGAAGGGGGCUAGCGUUGCUCGGAAUUACUGGGCGUAAAGGGCGCGUAGGCGGAUAUCUAAGUUGGGGGUGAAAUCCCGGGCUCAACCUCGGAAUUGCCUUCAAAACUGGAUAUCUUGAGUUCGGGAGAGGUGAGUGGAACUCCGAGUGUAGAGGUGAAAUUCGUAGAUAUUCGGAAGAACACCAGUGGCGAAGGCGACUCACUGGCCCGAUACUGACGCUGAGGCGCGAAAGCGUGGGAUCAAACAGGG
rnacentral:rRNA from 1 species